GCGCUCGUUUUGGCAGCACAUAUACUAAAAAUUGGGACAGUACAAAGAAGAUUAGCAUGGCCCCUGCCCAAGGAUGACCCACAAAUUCUUGAAGCGUUCCAUAUUUUU
ensembl:snRNA U6 U6 spliceosomal RNA